rnacentral:rRNA from 1 species
AGCAUAUCAAUAAGCGGAGGAAAAGAAAAUAACAAUGAUUUCCCUAGUAACGGCGAGUGAAGAGGAAAGAGCUCAAAGUUGGAAACUGUUUGGCUUAGCUAAACCGUAUUGUAAACUGUAGAAACAUUUUCCUGGCACACCAGAUUAAUAAGUCCUUUGGAACAAGGCAUCAUGGAGGGUGAGAAUCCCGUCUUUGAUCUGAGUAGUUGUCUUUUGUGAUAUGUUUUCAAAGAGUCAGGUUGUUUGGGAAUGCAGCCUAAAUUGGGUGGUAAAUCUCACCUAAAGCUAAAUAUUUGCGAGAGACCGAUAGCGAACAAGUACCGUGAGGGAAAGAUGAAAAGAACUUUGAAAAGAGAGUUAAACAGUAUGUGAAAUUGUUAAAAGGGAACCGUUUGGAGCCAGACUGGUUUGCCUGUAAUCAACCUAGAAUUCGUUUUGGGUGCACUUGCAGGCUAUACCUGCCAACAACAGUUUGAUUUGGAGGAAAAAAUUAGUAGGAAUGUAGCCUCUCGAGGUGUUAUAGCCUAUUAUCAUACUCUGGAUUGGACUGAGGAACGCAGCGAAUGCCUUUAGGCAAGAUUGCUGGGUGCUUUCGCUAAUAAAUGUUAGAAUUUCUGCUUCGGGUGGUGCUAAUGUUUAAAGGAGGAACACAUCUAGUAUAUUUUUUAUUCGCUUAGGUUGUUGGCUUAAUGACUCUAAAUGACCCGUCUUGAAACACGGACCAAGGAGUCCACCAUAAGUGCAAGUAUUUGAGUGACAAACUCAUAUGCGUAAGGAAACUGAUUGAUACGAAGUCUUUUGAUGGCAGUAUCACCCGGCGUCGACGUUUUAACUGAAAUGACCGAGGUAAAGCACUUAUGAUGGGACCCGAAAGAUGGUGAACUAUGCCUGAAUAGGGUGAAGCCAGAGGAAACUCUGGUGGAGGCUCGUAGCGAUUCUGACGUGCAAAUCGAUCGUCAAAUUUGGGUAUAGGGGCGAAAGACUAAUCGAACCAUCUAGUAGCUGGUUCCU